GUAAUAUAGGCUCCCUCUUUCACACUCUGUCAAUGGCACAAAGCCCUAUUGUUAAUACAGUUCUCUACUCACACUCAAGAUAAGAGUAAACAACACUGUCCUUCGACUACACAACUUUCUUCCUCUACAUACAUCUGCUCUUUCUGACAGCUUUCCUCCAGGCGUCUCAUCACAGCAAUACUGAAAGGGACUGUGGCAAGCCAGUUUUGGGACCCGUCCUCCAGACAAAGUCUUGCUCUGUCUUCCAGGAUGGAGUGCAAUGGCGCAAUCUCAGCUCACUGCAACCUCCAACUCCCUGGUUCAAGCGAUUCUCCUGCCUCAGCCUCCCCAGUAGCUGGGAUUACACGCAUGUGCCACCACACCCAGCUAAUUUUUGUAUUUUUAGUAGAGACGGGGUUUCACCAUGUUGGCCAGGAUGGUCUCGAUCUCCUGACGUUGUGAUCCGCCAGCCUCAGCCUCCCAAAGUGCUGGGAUUACAGGUGUGAGCCACCGCGCCCAGCUAGGAUGAAAAUUCUUAAAAGGUUAAACUUUAUAGAUAUGGUACAGUCGAAAAUUUUGGAGAUCAGCUACCAUAUUUACAUAAAAUAGGGCAGGGUAGAGGGAACAGAUUUUAGCUUUACUCAUUCUGAGGCUGGAGAGACUCUUGAGUAAUGACCAUGAACAGCAAGCCCAGCUGUGUCUCAUGCAGGCAUGGCUUAUAAUAUUUUUCCUAUAGAGAUCAGCUGUGCCUCAAACCGUGUGUUUUUAAAGCACUCAGAGAGAAGAGGAUCUAAGGGACAAUGCCAAAAAGGCAAAAAAGGCCCCGAAGUUAUCCAAUUUUUAAAAAUCUUCCCUUGCUCCUUAAUGACAUUCAAUAAUAGUCUAUUGACAAAACAAAUAAGGGUUUCUCUGUUCCUAUUUUGAACAAUGUCAGGAAAUCAUCCCUAAGUUAUCAGGAUGGCAAAGAAAGCUAAUCUUAAGAAGGCAAAUCUUUGCUAUUGAGAGAAACUUGCUUCAUUGAAUUGUUCAUGGAAGAACCAAAAAAGGCAAUGAAAGACAUAAAAAAUACUGAUGUUCCCGGAGAGGCUGAGUCUUUUACUCCUAGGCAAGGAGCAGUAUCAAGCUCAUCAGAGUGUGAUAAGCAAUUCUUACCUUGCCAAUCAAUAUCCAGUCACAAAAGACCAGCAAAUCAGCAAUGUCUCUACUUGUAACCAAAGUGUCACCUUGAGAGUUUAAGGAAAACGGAGGCUAUUUUUGUUUUAUCAUUCUAUUAAAGAAACACACACACACACACACAACACACACAACACACACACACACACACACACCCUUGGCUUAUUGUUUUGCUUUUGCUCUAAACAUUCAGAACACAGAAAUAAAAAAAGGACAUACGUUUUGAACUUACAUUAGAUGAGUUUUCAAAUUUGUAAAAGAAAUAAUCAUCUGAUCGAUUUAAAUGUCCUGUGAUAUGUAUGUCACUAAAAGUGAGAAACCUGGUCCAUGUGAAGCAUCAUUUUCAAAAUGGCAUUUCAGAAAAGUUUACAAAGGAGUCCUGACAUGCCUGGGGAAUUGUUUUGUUUUUGUUUUCCUAAAUGGGAGAAGUUGCAGAAAAAGAAGGUCCCUGUGGGCCUUCCACAAGGAAGGUCCUGUGAAGGAAAACACAAUAUAACUGUUUCCAGUAUCUUUAGCACACACAGGGGGAAACAUUCAAUAAAACAGAAGAGACUUUGAAAACACCAAAACUGCAGAACUUUGACAGCAAUUAAAAUGUCUGUUUAAUCAUGGCCCUAGACAGGAAAAGUAGUCUUCGAACAAACCCAGGGCAGGGUCCAGCCAUCUUGGAAGUUGUUGUUUACAUUAAAACAGCUACAGAACGGAAGGGAUAACUUUAUCUUUAGAAUUCAACCGAAUUUUCAAAUUUAACCUCCUCUAAGAGUUAGUGCUGCUCUAAAACUUACUCAGGUUUUCUUGAACCAGCACCACCUACCUCUCUACUCUGGCUGAUUCCUCCACAGCUCAGAGGGAACCAGUGAAAUACUGUAUAUAAUUUUGUGAUGGUUCUGUCAGGGAAACUUGCUUUAUCAUUCUGCUUUUUGAGACAAUAAUGAAGCCAUUCCUAAAUAAUCAUCCGUAACAAAAUAUUAUUUUUUGCUUAUAAGGAUUUACAGUAACUAUUUUUACUACUGCCUGCUUAUGGAGGCCCCUAAGAGUGGUUUCUACCUGUGGAUUGUAUAUGUGUAACAGCCUUAAUGAAAAGGAGAAAGGGAUAAGGUACUAGCAGCUCUGCAGUCUGUCACGUGGAAUGACUUUCAUCAGUGAAAUUUCCAAAGACAGGAUCUUUUCUAAUCCUGGGAUUGGAAGAGAAAGGAGCAUAAGGAUAUCUAGGUGCUUAAUACCCGAUUUGAGUUCAACAACAAUCAGGAAAAGACAGUUACUAGAGACUUUUUCCCCCUUCUUUCACAGGUUUUACUCACAACCCAUUCAGAGAUCCUUUAUCUCCUUCCUAUCUUUUUAUUAAUGGAGCAAUCUAUGCAGGCAGAUUUCAGUCCCUAAGAGUGCCUUGAUUUCUGCCAUAAACAAAUCAGAAACUGUUAGAAAAAAAGGUAUAGGAAAACAGAGAUAGAUGGGCUAAGUCUUCAUUCUUCUAAUGAGAAGUAUGGUUUUUUGGGGAAAAAAAAAACACCACCAAAAUUAUGUUGUUCUUUGUUUUUCUGGUUUCCUGGAAACUCCCAAUAUGAAGUAUUACUGUCUGAAAUACUUGCUUUAGUGCUAGACUGCCGCAUCACAAAUGACACUAAGGAAUGCCAUAAAUGUGCACGUUCCAUGCUCUGAUGUAAUGUUCCCAGGCAUGUACAUUCACUGCAGAGCUGACCAAUGACUAUUAUGACACGGCUCCUGCGAUAAGGCUAGUCAAAAUGGGAGCCUAAGUAGCCCCAAAAUUUCCUUCACUAGUUGGUUGUGACUUGAAAAUCAAACUAAGGGAAGAUAAUUCACACACUACAUCUGAACACUUGCUUUUCGCAUUCCAAAAUAUGCUAAUGGAGGCUGAAAUAUCAUUCAACCUAAAGAGUAACUGAUACAGAAGACAGGAAAUCCUCACUUAUCCAAUGUUCUUUAGCAAGACCUUCAAUUCACAAGGGGACCAUUGAACUCUUGUCAGUUUCUACUACCCCAGCUGGUUUCAGUAAUACUGACAGGGGACAACAGAAGGAUGAUGGGAAGGCAGAUGCGAGAGCUGAUGCCAACAGCCUAGAAGGGCAUAUAUACAUCUUGUUGUAGAAGGUGCUGCUGAAGGCAUUUAUCAAAUAUUUAGAAAGUGACUUCCUUUACAGAAGUCACCUGGGGUUCAAAAAUGGAAGUAAAAUAAUCUGGCAAUUGUGAAAGCUUUCUGAAAAUCUUUCUCCUCCAAAGUCCUAAGGAAAUUUAAACCAAUCAUGCCCAUGGUCAGACGAACAGAUUUUAAGUAAAUCUAAGAACAUCCCUUAUUAUUUUUUAUUUUGUUUACUAGAACAUAUUUAAACGAACUGAGAGUCCAGAGAAAGUAGGUUAUUAUGGAAAACAUUUCCCUUCGCCCUUAAAAUCACUGGAUUUGGGUUAUUCACUUUGAAGUUCUACUAUGAUCCAGUUUCCCAUCAGAAGAGAAGCACUUUCAGCCACUGAAAUCUAAGAGGACUUUCUUCAAUGGCACCCAGCAGAAAGGAAAAAAAUGAAAAGGAAAAAAAUCUUCUUGCAUUUGAAAAGUUAUUAGUCUUACAUGAAAGACAUUACCUUCCAAAAAACAAUAAUGAAGACUGACUAGUUCAAGUCAGAAACCCAGGUUUGAGGUUUCCAAGGCCCUUUUAUUAGGGGAAGUUCCCCUUUAUAGCACAAGACUUCACAAAUGUGUUGACAACAAUCAGAUUCAUUUCUUAAAAUUAUGGAGAAAAAAGGGAAAAAUAAAACAGAUGCACUUUUUAUAUAUAUUGAACAUAAAUUAAAAGAAUUUAUAAAACAGUCACCUUUUUACAGAAUAAAUGCAGACUGAAUUAUAAAUGCACCUCCAGGUUGAAGUUGUUUGAGUUGCUUUUCAUUUUCCAAUAAUAAAUAAAUAAAAUUUGU
rnacentral:antisense_RNA from 1 species